GAAGUCCUGAUGUGUACGUCGUACACUUAGUUUUGAUCCAACAUUACUUGAUCCGGGAGUUCAAGUUUCCAUUGCGGUGUAAAUGCCUCAUCAUUCGAUCAGAGGACUUAUCACCCGUGGAACAGGACACCCACCUGCUGUGAGCGGGUUCAAAACCAAGAUAGCCGCGACGGCACAAUUGGGACUUCU
rfam:Bacillus cibi strain DSM 16189 Contig05, whole genome shotgun sequence.